AGGACGAACGCUGGCGGCGUGCUUAACACAUGCAAGUCGAGCGAUGAAAUUCCUUCGGGGAUGGAUUAGCGGCGGACGGGUGAGUAACGCGUGGGCAACCUACCUCAAAGUGGGGGAUAGCCUCCCGAAAGGGAGAUUAAUACCGCAUAACAUUAGUUUUUCACAUGGAAAACUAAUUAAAGGAUUUAUUCGCUUUGAGAUGGGCCCGCGGCGCAUUAGCUAGUUGGUGAGGUAACGGCUCACCAAGGCAACGAUGCGUAGCCGACCUGAGAGGGUGAUCGGCCACAUUGGAACUGAGACACGGUCCAGACUCCUACGGGAGGCAGCAGUGGGGAAUAUUGCACAAUGGGCGAAAGCCUGAUGCAGCAGCGCCGCGUGAGUGAUGAAGGCCUUCGGGUUGUAAAGCUCUGUCUUUGGGGACGAUAAUGACGGUACCCAAGGAGGAAGCCACGGCUAACUACGUGCCAGCAGCCGCGGUAAUACGUAGGUGGCAAGCGUUGUCCGGAUUUACUGGGCGUAAAGGAUGCGUAGGCGGAUUUUUAAGUCAGAUGUGAAAUACCCGAGCUCAACUUGGGUGCUGCAUUUGAAACUGGAUAUCUAGAGUGCGGGAGAGGAGAGUGGAAUUCCUAGUGUAGCGGUGAAAUGCGUAGAGAUUAGGAAGAACACCAGUGGCGAAGGCGACUCUCUGGACCGUAACUGACGCUGAGGCAUGAAAGCGUGGGUAGCAAACAGGAUUAGAUACCCUGGUAGUCCAUGCCGUAAACGAUGAAUACUAGGUGUAGGAGGUAUCGACUCCUUCUGUGCCGCAGCUAACGCAAUAAGUAUUCCGCCUGGGAAGUACGAUCGCAAGAUUAAA
rnacentral:rRNA from 1 species